rnacentral:rRNA from 1 species
GAUGAACGCUGGCGGCGUGCCUAAUACAUGCAAGUCGAGCGAACGGACGAGAAGCUGGCUGCUCGGAGGUUAGCGGCGGACGGGUGAGUAACACGUGGAUAACCGACCUAUGAGACUGGGAUAACUACGGGAAACCGGAGCUAGUACCGGAUAAUAUUGUGAACGGCAUGGUUCAAAAGUGAAAGACGGUCUGGCGGGCACUUGUAGAUGGAUCCGCGCUGCAUUAGCUAGUUGGUAAGGUAACGGCUUACCAAGGCAACGAUGCAUAGCCGACAUGAGAGGGUGAUCCGCCACCCUGGAACUGAGACACGGCCCAGACUUCUAGGGGAGGCAGCAGUAGGGAAUCUUCCGCGAUGCGCGAAAGCCUGACGGAGCAACGCCGCGUCAGUGCUGAAGCUCUUCGGACCGUAAAACUCUGUUAUUAGGAAAGAACAUAUGUGUAAGUAACUGUGAACAUCUUGACGGUACCUAAUCAGAAAGCCCCGGCUAACUACGUG